rnacentral:rRNA from 1 species
AUGGCUCGGGAUGAACGCUAGCUACAGGCUUAACACAUGCAAGUCGAGGGGAAACGACAUCGAAAGCUUGCUUUUGAUGGGCGUCGACCGGCGCACGGGUGAGUAACGCGUAUCCAACCUGCCCACCACUUGGGGAUAACCUUGCGAAAGUAAGACUAAUACCCAAUGACGUCUCUAGAAGACAUCUGAAAGAGAUUAAAGAUUUAUCGGUGAUGGAUGGGGAUGCGUCUGAUUAGCUUGUUGGUGGGGUAACGGCCCACCAAGGCGACGAUCAGUAGGGGUUCUGAGAGGAAGGUCCCCCACAUUGGAACUGAGACACGGUCCAAACUCCUACGGGAGGCAGCAGUGAGGAAUAUUGGUCAAUGGGCGAGAGCCUGAACCAGCCAAGUAGCGUGCAGGAUGACGGCCCUAUGGGUUGUAAACUGCUUUUAUAAGGGAAUAAAGUGAGUCUCGUGAGGCUUUUUGCAUGUACCUUAUGAAUAAGGACCGGCUAAUUCCGUGCCAGCAGCCGCGGUAAUACGGAAGGUCCGGGCGUUAUCCGGAUUUAUUGGGUUUAAAGGGAGCGUAGGCCGGAGAUUAAGCGUGUUGUGAAAUGUAGACGCUCAACGUCUGCACUGCAGCGCGAACUGGUUUCCUUGAGUACGCACAAAGUGGGCGGAAUUCGUGGUGUAGCGGUGAAAUGCUUAGAUAUCACGAAGAACUCCGAUUGCGAAGGCAGCUCACUGGAGCGCAACAGACGCUGAAGCUCGAAAGUGCGGGUAUCGAACAGGAUUAGAUACCCUGGUAGUCCGCACGGUAAACGAUGGAUGCCCGCUGUUGGUCUGAAUAGGUCAGCGGCCAAGCGAAAGCAUUAAGCAUCCCACCUGGGGAGUACGCCGGCACCGGAGCA